rnacentral:tRNA from 6 species
GGCGGCAUGGCCAAGUGGUAAGGCGGGGGACUGCAAAUCCUUUAUCCCCAGUUCAAAUCCGGGUGUCGCCUGAUCAAC